rfam:Ictidomys tridecemlineatus contig121599, whole genome shotgun sequence.
GUUAGGAUGGCAGAGCCCAGAAAUUGCAUAACACUUCAAACUUUAUUACCUGAGGUUCAACUCCUUUUCUUAACA